AUACGGGGGGUGCAAGCGUUACUCGGAAUCACUGGGCGUAAAGGGCGCGUAGGCGGUUUGGCAAGUCGGAUGUGAAAGCCCGGGGCUCAACCUCGGAAGUGCAUCCGAUACUGCUUAACUUGAGUAUGGGAGAGGGAAGCGGAAUUCCUGGUGUAGCGGUGAAAUGCGUAGAUAUCAGGAGGAACACCGGUGGCGAAGGCGGCUUCCUGGACCAAUACUGACGCUGAGGCGCGAAGGCGUGGGGAGCAAACAGGAUUAGAUACCCUGGUAGUCCACGCAGUAAACGUUGUUCACUAGGUGUAGCGGGUAUUGACCCCUGCUGUGCCGGAGCUAACGCAUUAAGUGAACCGCCUGGGAAGUACGGCCGCAAGGUUAAA
rnacentral:rRNA from 1 species